rnacentral:lncRNA from 1 species
AUUGUGAAUGCUGGCAUCUCUGCUACUGCAUUGACGAGCACGUUUAGAUAAAGGUUCGUUUGGAGAUUGACGACGUUUAAACUAAUGCCAUAGUAGACGACUGAGCACAAGAAGUUAAUGGUAACGGCCAAAAACAGGCGUAUACGCGUCAAUGGGGACUUAAUAACAUCUAUGACAGAACCUGUGACUGCUUCUUUUGUCGCCAAUUCUUCCUUGUAAUUUUGUUUGCCAUUUGAAGCAUCAUUUUCUUGUUCGUCAUCAAGCAUGAGAACAACCCCAUCAGGCAAAUGGCGCCCGUUAGACUUGGCAAUAGCACGCAUGAUUUUCAUGGCCUCAUUUAGUUUGCCUCGAACAAGAUACC